AACGAACGCUGGCGGCAGGCCUAACACAUGCAAGUCGAGCGAGGACUUCGGUCCUAGCGGCGGACGGGUGAGUAACGCGUGGGAACGUGCCCUUUGCUUCGGAAUAGCCCUGGGAAACUGGGAGUAAUACCGGAUGAGCCCUUUGGGGGAGAGAUUUAUCGGCGAAGGAUCGGCCCGCGUUGGAUUAGGUAGUUGGUGGGGUAAUGGCCUACCAAGCCGACGAUCCAUAGCUGGUUUGAGAGGAUGAUCAGCCACACUGGGACUGAGACACGGCCCAGACUCCUACGGGAGGCAGCAGUGGGGAAUCUUAGACAAUGGGGGAAACCCUGAUCUAGCCAUGCCGCGUGAGCGAUGAAGGCCUUAGGGUUGUAAAGCUCUUUCAGCUGGGAAGAUAAUGACGGUACCAGCAGAAGAAGCCCCGGCUAACUCCGUG
rnacentral:rRNA from 1 species